GACGAACGCUGGCGGCGUGCUUAACACAUGCAAGUCGAACGGUAAGGCCCCUUCGGGGGUACACGAGUGUCGAACGGGUGAGUAACACGUGAGCAACCUUCCCUUGACUCUGGAAUAACAGUUGGAAACAGCUGCUAAUACUGGAUAUUCAUCGUCUCCUUCCUGGGGUGUGGUGGAAAGCUCCGGCGGUCGGGGAUGGGCUCGCGGCCUAUCAGCUUGUUGGUGAGGUAAUGGCUCACCAAGGCUUCGACGGGUAGCCGGCCUGAGAGGGGGACCGGCCAAACUGGGACUGAGAUACGGACCAGACUGCAACGGGAGGCAGCAGUGGGGAAUAUUGCACAAUGGGCGGAAGCCUGAUGCAGCAACGCCGCGUGCGGGAUGACGGCCUUCGGGUUGUAAACAGCUUUAAGUAGGGACGAAGGGUGAAUGACGGUAACUAAAGAAGAAGGACCGGCUAACUACGUG
rnacentral:rRNA from 1 species